AACGAACGCUGGCGGCAGGCCUAAUACAUGCAAGUCGAGCGCGCCCUUCGGGGCGAGCGGCGGACGGGUUAGUAACGCGUGGGAAUGUACCCUUUUCUACGGGAUAGCCAUUGGAAACGAUGAGUAAUACCGUAUACGCCCUUUGGGGGAAAGAUUUAUCGGAGAAGGAUCAGCCCGCGUUAGAUUAGAUAGUUGGUGGGGUAAUGGCCUACCAAGUCUACGAUCUAUAGCUGGUUUUAGAGGAUGAUCAGCAACACUGGGACUGAGACACGGCCCAGACUCCUACGGGAGGCAGCAGUGGGGAAUCUUAGACAAUGGGCGCAAGCCUGAUCUAGCCAUGCCGCGUGAGUGAAGAAGGCCUUAGGGUCGUAAAGCUCUUUCGCCAGGGAUGAUAAUGACAGUACCUGGUAAAGAAACCCCGGCUAACUCCGUGCCAGCAGCCGCGGUAAUACGGAGGGGGUUAGCGUUGUUCGGAAUUACUGGGCGUAAAGCGCACGUAGGCGGAUUAGAAAGUAUGGGUGAAAUCCCAGGGCUCAACCCUGGAACUGCCUCAUAAACUCCUAAUCUAGAGUUCGAGAGAGGUGAGUGGAAUUCCGAGUGUAGAGGUAAAAUUCGUA
rnacentral:rRNA from 1 species